rnacentral:rRNA from 1 species
UACGAAGGGGGCUAGCGUUGCUCGGAAUCACUGGGCGUAAAGCGCACGUAGGCGGAUUGCUAAGUCAGGGGUGAAAUCCUGGAGCUCAACUCCAGAACUGCCUUUGAUACUGGCGAUCUUGAGUCCGGGAGAGGUGAGUGGAACUGCGAGUGUAGAGGUGAAAUUCGUAGAUAUUCGCAAGAACACCAGUGGCGAAGGCGGCUCACUGGCCCGGUACUGACGCUGAGGAGCGAAAGCCAGGGGAGCGAACGGG